rnacentral:rRNA from 1 species
UACGGAGGAUGCGAGCGUUAUCCGGAAUCAUUGGGCGUAAAGCGUUCGUAGGCGGCAAGGUAAGUCUGAUGUUAAAGCCCGGGGCUCAACUCCGGUUCGGCAUUGGAUACUGGCAAACUAGAAUGUGGUAGAGGUAAAGGGAAUUCCUGGUGUAGCGGUGAAAUGCGUAGAUAUCAGGAGGAACAUCGGUGGCGAAAGCGCUUUACUGGACCAUUAUUGACGCUGAGGAACGAAAGCCAGGGGAGCAAAUGGG